rnacentral:rRNA from 1 species
GACGAACGCUGGCGGCGUGCUUAACACAUGCAAGUCGAACGGAAAGGCCCUGCUUUUGUGGGGUGCUCGAGUGGCGAACGGGUGAGUAACACGUGAGUAACCUACCCUUGACUUUGGGAUAACUUCAGGAAACUGGGGCUAAUACCGGAUAGGAGCUCCUGCUGCAUGGUGGGGGUUGGAAAGUUUCGGCGGUUGGGGAUGGACUCGCGGCUUAUCAGCUUGUUGGUGGGGUAGUGGCUUACCAAGGCUUUGACGGGUAGCCGGCCUGAGAGGGUGACCGGCCACAUUGGGAAUGAGAUACGGCCCAGACUCCUACGGGAGGCAGCAGUGGGGAAUAUUGCACAAUGGGCGGAAGCCUGAUGCAGCAACGCCGCGUGCGGGAUGACGGCCUUCGGGUUGUAAACCGCUUUCGCCUGUGACGAAGCGUGAGUGACGGUAAUGGGUAAAGAAGCACCGGCUAACUACGUG